rnacentral:rRNA from 1 species
GAUGAACGCUAGCUACAGGCUUAACACAUGCAAGUCGCGGGGCAGCAUGGGGGUUGCUUGCAACCCCUGUUGGCGACCGGCGCACGGGUGAGUAACGCGUAUCCAACCUGCCCUUCACCCCGGAAUACCCGGGCGAAGGUCGAACUAAUACCGAUUGUUUUCACUUCACGGCACCCGAUUGGAAGACAGGCCUGGGGGGUGAAAGGGUGGGGAUGCUUCUGCUUUGCUUGAGGGCGGGGUAACGGCCCAACGUGGCUACCGAUGGUAGGGGUUCUGAGGGGAAGGUCCCCCACACUGGAACUGAGACACGGUCCAGACUCCUACGGGAGGCAGCAGUGAGGAAUAUUGGUCAAUGGGCGUAAGCCUGAACCAGCCAAGUAGCGUGCAGGAUGACGGCCCUAUGGGUUGUAAACUGCUUUUAUGCGGGGAUAAAGUGGCCCACGUGUGGGCUUUUGCAGGUACCGCAUGAAUAAGGACCGGCUAAUUCCGUG